GAUGAACGCUGGCGGCGUGCUUAACACAUGCAAGUCGAACGGAAAGGCCCAAGCUUGCUUGGGUACUCGAGUGGCGAACGGGUGAGUAACACGUGGGUGAUCUGCCCUGCACUUCGGGAUAAGCCUGGGAAACUGGGUCUAAUACCGGAUAGGACGAUGGUUUGGAUGCCAUUGUGGAAAGUUUUUUCGGUGUGGGAUGAGCUCGCGGCCUAUCAGCUUGUUGGUGGGGUAAUGGCGUACCAAGGCGUCGACGGGUAGCCGGCCUGAGAGGGUGUACGGCCACAUUGGGACUGAGAUACGGCCCAGACUCCUACGGGAGGCAGCAGUGGGGAAUAUUGCACAAUGGGCGCAAGCCUGAGGCAGCGACGCCGCGUGGGGGAUGACGGCCGUCGGGUUGUAAACUCCUUUCGCUAGGGACGAAGCGUUUUUGUGACGGUACCUGGAGAAGAAGCACCGGCUAACUACGUG
rnacentral:rRNA from 1 species